CAACAUCUCAUCAUCCUAGCACCCAGCUAAUGGGCUCCCUGCCCAGUGCUGGUGUGAGGAAGAAGUGCAAAAGAGUCUGGCUGUAGUGGAAAGUCAAGGGGGAAAAUGAGGUGGAACAAGUUUGCCUGGCCCACUGCCGUGGUUCAGCAUGGGGUGAGGCUCCAUCAGCAGCUCUGCAGGGCGGUGACAGCCCAUGCCCAGCCCCGGGCUCCGCAUGUGGCCUGCAAGCUCCAGCCCUCUGCCCCCUGCAGCUUGGAGACCUUCCCCCAGGGACACAGGCUGCUUGGCCUAAAUGCACUCCUCUGAACAUGGAAAGCAGCAUGUUCUCUCCAAAGCUCUGCAGCCUCUGCCUUUAAAGUCCAGAACUGGUGAUGCAAGAGCCUUUGACAGUUCAGCAGUCCUCAGCAGCAGAAAUAUCCAGACAGGCUAUGAGGUUUUUUGUGAUCACACUGGUAUAGUGCAAUGGCCACUGGGACACUCUCAGGCAAGGAGCACAGAUGUGUUUCCAGUCAGGAUUACAUCCAGUUCAGAUUUCUGAUAUUCAGAGCUAGUGCAAAAGAAAGAUUUCCAGUACUGGAUUCAAGCUGUAGAACACAACUGGAACAUGUAAAAAUGAAGAAAGGCA
rnacentral:lncRNA from 1 species